rnacentral:rRNA from 1 species
CACGUAGGGCGCGAGCGUUGUCCGGAAUUAUUGGGCGUAAAGAGCGUGUAGGCGGCCAGAUAAGUCCGCUGUGAAAUCUCGAGGCUCAACUUCGAGCUGUCGGUGGAAACUAUCUGGCUAGAGUCCGGAAGAGGAGAAUGGAAUUCCUGGUGUAGCGGUGAAAUGCGCAGAUAUCAGGAAGAACACCCGUGGCGAAGGCGGUUCUCUGGGACGGUACUGACGCUGAGACGCGAAAGCGUGGGGAGCGAACAGG